rnacentral:rRNA from 1 species
GCAUAUCAAUAAGCGGAGGAAAAGAAAAUAACAAUGAUUCCCUCAGUAACGGCGAGCGAAGAGGGAUAAGCUCAAAUUUUAAAUCUGUUGGGUUCCACUCGACAGAGUUGUAUUUUGAAGAAACGUUUUCUGCAUCCAGGAUUAGCCUAAAUCCUUUGGGAUAAGGUAUCAUGGAGGGUGAGAAUCCCGUUCAUGGUUAAUCUUAAGGAAGCUCUACGAUACGUUUUCCAAGAGUCGAGUUGUUUGGGAUUGCAGCUCAAAAUGGGAGGUAAAUUUCUCCUAAGGCUAAAUAUUGGCGAGAGACCGAUAGCGAACAAGUACCGUGAGGGAAAGAUGAAAAGAACUUUGAAAAGAGAGUUAAACAGUACGUGAAAUUGUUGAAAGGGAAACGAUUGAAGUCAGUCAUACCAACGGGAAAUCAACCUUUUGAGCUUGGUCUCGUGGGUUUUGAAGAGUUUCAAAGCCUUCGGAUUCGCGGGAUUGGGAUCUCUUGGUGUACUUUUUCGUACGGUUAGUCAACAUCGGUUUUGAAUGUCAUAAAAUGACUGGAGGAAUGUAGCUUCGAUCUCGUAUUGAAGUGUUAUAGCCUUUGGUAGAUGUGAUGUUUGAGACCGAGGAUUGCAACGGAUACCCCUCAGGGCUAUUCGUCUGAUCUCUGAUACGUUGCCUUGAUGUUGAAAGCUUGCUUAUGAUGUUAGGGUAUUACGGUCAAAAGGUUAGAACGAAUUACAUUCGUUAAGGAUGUUGACGUAAUGGCUUUAAACGAC